rfam:Sulfolobus acidocaldarius DSM 639, complete genome.
GGACCCGUAGCUUAGCCAGGACAGAGUGCCAGUCUCCGGAACUGGUGGUCCCGGGUUCAAAUCCCGGCGGGUCCG